rnacentral:rRNA from 1 species
GACGAACGCUGGCGGCGCGCCUAACACAUGCAAGUCGAACGGAGCUGAGAGAAGCUUGCUUUUCUUAGCUUAGUGGCGAACGGGUGAGUAACGCGUGAGUAACCUGCCCUGGAGUGGGGGACAACAGUUGGAAACGACUGCUAAUACCGCAUAAGCCCACGAUCCGGCAUCGGAUUGAGGGAAAAGGAUUUAUUCGCUUCAGGAUGGACUCGCGUCCAAUUAGCUAGUUGGUGAAGUAACGGCCCACCAAGGCGACGAUUGGUAGCCGGACUGAGAGGUUGAACGGCCACAUUGGGACUGAGACACGGCCCAGACUCCUACGGGAGGCAGCAGUGGGGGAUAUUGCACAAUGGGGGAAACCCUGAUGCAGCGACGCCGCGUGGAGGAAGAAGGUUUUCGGAUUGUAAACUCCUGUCGUUAGGGACGAUAAUGACGGUACCUAACAAGAAAGCACCGGCUAACUACGUG